GCUGGCGGCAUGCCUUACACAUGCAAGUCGAACGGCAGCACGGGGGCAACCCUGGUGGCGAGUGGCGAACGGGUGAGUAAUGCAUCGGAACGUGCCCAGUAGUGGGGGAUAACUAGUCGAAAGAUUAGCUAAUACCGCAUACGACCUACGGGUGAAAGCGGGGGACCUUUACCGGCCUCGCGCUAUCGGAGCGGCCGAUGUCUGAUUAGCUAGUUGGCGGGGUAAAAGCCCACCAAGGCUUCGAUCAGUAGCUGGUCUGAGAGGACGACCAGCCACACUGGGACUGAGACACGGCCCAGACUCCUACGGGAGGCAGCAGUGGGGAAUUUUGGACAAUGGGCGCAAGCCUGAUCCAGCCAUGCCGCGUGCGGGAAGAAGGCCUUCGGGUUGUAAACCGCUUUUGGCAGGAACGAAACGGCGCGAGCGAAUAUCUCGCGUUAAUGACGGUACCUGCAGAAUAAGCACCGGCUAACUACGUGCCAGCAGCCGCGGUAAUACGUAGGGUGCAAGCGUUAAUCGGAAUUACUGGGCGUAAAGCGUACGCAGGCGGCUUUGCAAGACAGGUGUGAAAUCCCCGGGCCUAACCUGGGAACUGCAUUUGUGACUGCAUGGCUAGAGUUUGUCAGAGGGGGGUGGAAUUCCACGUGUAGCAGUGAAAUGCGUAGAUAUGUGGAGGAACACCGAUGGCGAAGGCAGCCCCCUGGGAUGUGACUGACGCUCAUGUACGAAAGCGU
rnacentral:rRNA from 1 species